CAGUCGUAACAAGGUCUCCGUAGGUGAACCUGCGGAGGGAUCAUUACCGAGUGAAGGGCCCCCGGGUCCGAUCUCCCACCCUUUGUGAUUAAACCUCUGUUGCCUCGGGGGUGACCCGCGCGUCUCCGGCGCCGGGGCCCCCGGUGGACCAACCCAUAACACUGCAUCUUUGCGUCGGAUAUCAAUGAAAAUAAAUAAAAA
rnacentral:misc_RNA from 1 species